rnacentral:tRNA from 1 species
GCGCUGGUAGUAUAGUGGUUAGUAUAACUGGCUUCCAUGCAUAUAUGCGAAGUGACCAGUUGACCCGGGUUCGACCCCCGGCCGGCGCA